GCUCAAAUGAUGUUAACAAUGUCAUAGUGAUAGUUCCCACCACUCCCUCCAUUCUUAGCUGAUUCCAUUUGGCACAGGAAAUAACCCACUUGUCAUCCCUGUGGUACAAAGCUCAUCGUGAAUGUGUGGCCCCAUCUCAGACAAAAAGCAGGUCCUAGGGCCAUGACGGUGUGAAGGGGAUGCUUUCUUUGCCUUCUGCAAAACUAGAAACCAGCAUAGGCUUCUCCCAUCUUCGUGAUCUGUAUGGGGCGGGGCUUUGUAAGCAGACGUCUUCCCAGGAAUUAACACAGCAUUUCUGUUCCCUUUCUCCACUCUAGCUGACUCUAAAGAGGAUGCAGUUAACUGGCUCUCUGGCUUGAAAAUCUUACACCAGGAAGCGAUGAAUGCGUCCACGCCCACCAUUAUCGAGAGUUGGCUGAGAAAGCAGAUAUAUUCUGUGGAUCAAACCAGAAGAAACAGGUAAGAGUCCUUCAGUUUUUUUCUGAUCACUUUGGAUUUCGAUCCUCAUUCUUUCUUUAAACCUUCCAAGGGGGUGGGAGCACGACUUGUCGGGGGCAAGGUCCUC
rnacentral:sRNA from 1 species